rnacentral:lncRNA from 1 species
GUUAAACCUAAACCAGAGCAGGAGAUGAGAAUUGUGCACUAGCAUGAGCAAAGUCAUUGCGUUUGAAUCACAGUCUCAGCAGUCCUCCUCCUUGAACCUUUAAAGUAUAUUUUUAAAACUGCUUACAUAAUAAGAAUGGCAGAGUUUUAUUGUGACCCUUGGCAGAGUUUUAUUAUGACCCCAAGGAAGUUAGUUAAGCUUUUUAUUUCCACACAGGCAUUUAAAGUUUUUGUUUCAAACUGAACAAACAGAAUGAACAGUCCGUACUGUUUGCUUGUGUAUAAAAAAUGAUUGAACAGAUCCCAGGCAUCUCAGACAGGGCAGGUAGAAGAGUCCCAGGGCUCGUGUUAGGAACACUAACUCAAGUGCCUAGAAAACCUACUGUUGCCACACCAUACAGGGAUUUGUGGCUGUAAGGGCUGGAGGCAGAGCUCUGGGUAGACAGAGUGCAAGUCUCUUCUCCAGUCCUGUGGCUAUCUGGGGUUUAAUCCAUGCCUUGCAGUUACUUCUGUGUGUAACAGGUUGAGUGUGUGAGAAGCAGUGUUCUUAAAAGUUGGCAAACCUGUUUUACUUGUUUCUCAACCUUUGCAGAUCAUUGCUUAUGAAACACUGGUAUUUACAGUAAAUAUCUUGUUUUAGAUGUAGGCCAGCCCCAUCCAACCGUUUGUCCUUCAACAACUUCGCCCUUUGUGUUUUCUUUACAAAAAAAACUGAAGUGAGAAAAUGACCGCCUGGUGGAGAAUAAAGCAUCACAAUGGCAGCACAAAAGAGUUGCUCCUGGAAUCAAGGCCCUGGGGUCAUGUUACAGCAUCUGCUGCUUUCUCGCCACAUGACAGUGAUCGAAUCAUUGUAUCUGUCUGACUCUACAAAGUGGGCAUGCUUCUGUGACUUGUAAUGGUAGAAGUACAGACUCCGGGAUGUGAAGGGCUAGAGUCCUCUGGUGGUGCUCUGGUCUCUCAGGUCUUUUCUAAGUUCUUCUAACUUAAUCGGAGGUGAUACUCAUAUAGUGCCAGCACUGGACCUGCUUACUAGAACACACUCAAUUACUUCAUGAGCGGAGUUAGUUCAGUUCAUACCAUACCCUUGGGGGUGGGGGGAAGCCUAUUUAUUUUACCUCAUACACAAUUUUUUAUUGUU